ACCUGGAAAUCAUGACCGACGAUAACAUACAAAUACUUCAAGAUGCACACUAUGAAUUUAAAAAGCAGAAUUUUAAACCGGCAGAGCAGCUUUACACUCAAUUUAUCACUUCCUGUUUACGGUCCAGGGAAUGUGAAGCCAGUGAUUUGGCCACUGCCUAUAACAACCGGGGACAGAUUAAGUAUCUCCGGGUGGAUUUUCGUGAAGCAGUAGAGGAUUUUUCCUCUGCCAUAAAAGUUGACAGCCAGUUUGAGAUACCAUUCUACAACAGAGGACUCGUGCAUUAUAGACUAGGGUUUUUUGAUGAUGCUAAGAGUGACUUCCAGCGGGUGUUGAAGCUCAACCCAGAUUUUGAAGAUGCCAAAGUGAGUCUGCAGCAGACACUUCUGGACCAGCAGCACAAGAUGAACAGAGGAUACUGAGGACUUAAUCAACUACAGAGAUAUAUUCUACUAUUUAUGAUUAUUUUAUUUGUAAGGAUCAUGUACACUGUGUGGAUAUGACACUUUGAUUUAUUUGCCUCAGGUUGAUCUUGCAGAAAUGCAUAAUAUGUAUAUGGAAAUCCCUUUUAUGAAUAAAUUCAAAUUCAUGUGAAAAAUCAGCGGACUGAUUGCAGAGGUUCACUUAAAAUUAACUAAACAUUUUGUGGAAACAAAAUAAAGCAAAUGAGAAAAAACAUGCCAAAAUACCCCAAUUUACACGAAAAUAUUAUUGCAGUUUAUCAGCCCCGAUUAAAUACAAAUAAGGAUUUUUGAAUACAAAGAAAAAAAUGUAUAUAGAGCAGGGGUGCCAAACAUGUGGCCUGAAGGGUCUGAUGUGGCCCAUGGGGUAAAUUUAUGAAAUACAAAAAUUACACUGACAGUAUUGAUCAUUCAUCCAUUCUUUCAUUUUCUGAACCCACUUUAACCUCACUAGGGUCAUGGGGGUCGCUGGAGCCUAU